UCCACUUAGAUCUUGCUUAUAGGUUGCUUAUCAUGGGACACAGUUGUCAAAGCUUGUUGUUGAAGAUGCUCCUAUUUCUAUUGACCUGGAAAUACCAUCACAACAGAGAGAGUUUGCAGAAACUGUGAAAACAUUUCCAUCCACUGAAGGAGGAGCAGCUGAAAGUCUCCCCACUGCCAGAGAAUUAAAGAGUAAGAUUUCUGCUUUUAACU